rnacentral:rRNA from 1 species
UACGUAGGGUGCGAGCGUUAAUCGGAAUUACUGGGCGUAAAGCGUGCGCAGGCGGCGCCGCAAGUCAGGCGUGAAAUCCCCGAGCUUAACUUGGGAAUGGCGCUUGAAACUACGGUGCUGGAGUGUGGCAGAGGGAGGUGGAAUUCCACGUGUAGCGGUGAAAUGCGUAGAUAUCUGGAGGAACACCGGUGGCGAAGGCGGCGUUCUGGACUGCAACUGACACUGAGGAACGAAAGCCAGGGGAGCAAACGGG